UUGGCUGCCAAAGUUGAAAAAAUGAAUUUUCUUCCAGUUAUUGGUAGUCAAAAGGACUAGAAAACUGAAAAGACAUCUUGCGUAAUGACAUACGUUUGUCACUUAUAAUUAUCAUAACAGGGACUUGUGUUGCCACUAUUACUCGCCCCAUCUGCAUCAAAUGCAUUAACUUGUCACCUAAUUCUUGAUUUUUUGUUCUUUGUAAAUCUGUUGAAAUUUUGGCUUCAUGUUUACAGGUCUCUUCUCUUAUGACUCACCACUGCUACCUUAAUCUGAAACUAUAUAUCAUAGCUUUUAGAGGAAGUAAAUUCCAAGCUUGAUAUCUCGUCAGUAUGUCACAGGCGGAUCAGGAUAAGUACACUUCACCUGUACCAGUAAUUGGCUUAUAUACAGCAGCGGCAACAUUGAUUUGUUUUCUACUCAUGCUUUAUGAUAUAUCAAUGGGUUUUCAUCGAAAAAAGCCAUGGUUACCUUUGGAUGCUCUGCCACGGAAAGUAGUCAUAGCUCAUGCAGGAAUGUUGAAGGGAAGCGUCUAACACCUUUAACCGCUUGAUCUCUUCUCGACUUCAUCGUUAAUAGCUUCAGAUGGUUCAUCUUGCAUGGUUUGCUCGGUUGUCGUAUGAUAGUGGGAAGAUGCAACAAUGUGUAUGUCAGGUUCUUGUUUCAUUGGUCUGUCGAAGAAGUUGUUAAGAUUCAAUGUUAAUUCUCUAAUCUAUCCUUGGAAGUAAUUGCUUUGCCCGGACCGUACACUUUCAUAAUUGAUGGUUUUAUCAAGAGUUGAGCUGAUGGCAUAAGGAUAGGUGAGGCGAAUAGCUUGUUCUUCAUCAUUGGCUCUAUCUCCUCCCCCUUAUUUUCUUUUCUGGAUUUGGUAACUUGUUUCACGCAAUUGGUUGCUCCUUCCGCGAUUUCAAGGCUGAACUAAUCAAAGGCUCGUGGCGUUUAUCUCUUUGGUUCUUCUUUUCCCGCAGGCUUAGUCUUGCAUUAACAACUUCAAAUCUCUUUCUCGUGUCCAGAUCUUGUGAUUGUGCUUCUACUUCGGCAUUAUACAUACGCCUUCUACAGUUCUCUCGGGUGGGCUUCAGUAAUCAGUAGCUCUCGUUAGUGCAAAUAAGUUAUACGAGUUGUUGAUGCAGUUCAUCUUAGAAGAUGAUCAAUUAGAGACUAUCUAGGAGUUUUUCCGUGAAAUUGUGAGGGCAUUAGUUCGUCACUAUGUUGGCAGGGUUCUCAUCACCCCCUCGUUUUUGGUUCCGAAUUAGCUAUGCCGUUGAAGUUCUUUAUUUUCUCUCGAUGAGGAUUAUUUCUUUGGGUAGUGAGGACGGAGGAGAGAGAAGCAAGAUGAGGCGGCUAAUGGGAAACAGUGGUAGUGCCCUCCGAUAAUGGUGAGGGUGACACUUUGAUAGUGCGGGCGGAUUCUGAUGGUGGUGGUUAUUUUGAUUUAGUGGAGUUGAAAGUUGUUUGAAUAGGUUGCUGCUGUUACUCGUGAUGGAGAUGAUCGUGAUGCUGUUUCGAUGGUGCAGUCGAGAGGAGUAGGAGCAUGGGUAUUAUCGAGAAGAUAGUGUGAUUCUGUAGCGGUUUGUCAUCAUCCGUAAUUGAUUAAUAGUAAAGGUUGGCGUGUUGGUCUAUCAUGGUAUUACUGGCACGAAUGUUGGCAGUGAUGACGAGUUUGGAUCAGUAAGAAAGGAUGGAAAAACCUGAGUAAGCAAGCUACUCUUCACUGCUUAGGAUCAUUUAGUCAAUGAGAACUGUUGACAGUAGUUGCACUUAUGAUAGGUGGAAGAUAGUAAUGUUUCAUCUAGAAAGCCCGUAGUCAUCUGUCUUGGUUUGCAGUGUGGCGUUUUUGUCAUAAGUCGUGAGAGUGAACUGCCAAAGACAUAAAUUUCCGAAGACGUUGACAGAGAGGUUCUUCCGAAGAUAUGAACUUUUGUUUUAAAUUGCAUCCUCAAGGUGUGGCACCUUUGUAGAUUUGAGUCAUAUCCGAUGUCGUAUGCAUCUUUUGUAUGAGCUUGGUUUCGGUGGAUGUUAUCGGAUGCAAAUCCUCAAUAGCUACUCACAUCUUUUGUGUGAGCUUGGUUUCGGUGGGUGUUAUCGGAUUCAAAUCCUCAAUAGCUACUCACACAGGAAUAUUCAAAAUCAUUCAUGUCAAUAGGAAAUCCAUAGAAGAGUCCUUCUGUAAAGCAUAUUAGCAUACACCUGCGUUCAUGGACUGUAUCAAA